ACUCCUACGGGAGGCAGCAGUGGGGAAUAUUGCACAAUGGGCGCAAGCCUGAUGCAGCCAUGCCGCGUGUAUGAAGAAGGCCUUCGGGUUGGUAAAGUACUUUCAGUCAGUGGAGGAAGGCUGGGUAUGUUAAUAGCAUACUCAUUUGACGUUAGCUGCAGAAGAAGCACCGGCUAACUCCGUGCCAGCAGCCGCGGUAAUACGGA
rnacentral:rRNA from 1 species